UCUCCGUUGGUGAACCAGCGGAGGGAUCAUUACCGAGUUUACAACUCCCAAACCCAAUGUGAACGUUACCAACCUGUUGCCUCGGCGGGGUCACGCCCCGGGUGCGUCGCAGCCCCGGAACCAGGCGCCCGCCGGAGGAACCAACCAAACUCUUUCUGUAGUUCCCUCGCGGACGUUAUUUCUUACAGCUCUGAGCAAAACUUCAAAAUGAAUCAAAACUUUCAACAACGGAUCUCUUGGUUCUG
rnacentral:misc_RNA from 1 species